rnacentral:misc_RNA from 1 species
CCGGGAGUUCCAAUUUGUGGGUUCCAUCGUCAAAAUGCUACUUUUCGAUUGCAUGUUACUUCCAUGCUAAGUAUAAGGCUGGCUUAUCAAGCACUUACACAAAGAACGGAAAUCCAUGUAAAAUUACUUAUGGAUCUGGGGCUAUCUCCGGUUUCUUCAGCCAGGAUAAUGUACUAGUUGGAGACCUUGUUGUUAAAGAUAACACUUUCAUUGAGACUACACGAGAGUCAAGUUUGACUUUCGUUCUGGCGAAGUUUGAUGGCAUACUUGGUCUCGG